rnacentral:lncRNA from 1 species
UUGUUGUAUAUUGAAAGCUGGAGUCUUGAAGCUUUGUUUUCCCCUGAUUUCGAACCUUGCUGUGUCGAGUUCUUUUGGGGGGUGUUUGUUAGCCAUGAGAGUCAAUAGAUGGAGAGAGGUAGAGCAUGGCACGGCGGCAACUCGCCGCUGCUGUCCGGCCUAGGGCUUCAGGCGGCGGCGGCCUCAUCAUCGCUGCCCUGAGUCGCCGGAGUCAGAGAAAGAAGAUAGGUCGGGGGUGAGAGUGGAGAGGGCGGCGGCGGCCUAGGAGUCGUCGGCCGUCGGGAACAGGGGAUGGGGCGGUGACUGAACUGGGCUGGGUUUUUGUCGGGGUUAGGACGGCGGCGACCUUCAUGGUUGCUCGCCGGACCGAUUCAAUGAGGUUUGAGAGAGAGGCCGAGGGAGGCGGCGGCGUUUCGUCGUCGCCAAGGAGGAAAGAGAACAGAGGGAGGCCAGGGCGCGGCGGCCCUGCCGCUGUCGCUCGGCCACGGACGGAGGGAGAGACAGCGUCGCCUGAUCUACGGGCGGCGGCUGGAGAAGAGGGGAGGGGGUCGAUUCCGAUCUGAACUUUGAGCAACGAUGGAGCAGUCGAGGG